CCCAAGCCUGAAUAACUCCCACGCUUCACAUUAGGAUGUUCUUAUCACAGAAAAUUCACUUAAAAAACUGUACAUUAGCUUAGCAAGUCUUAUUAUUUUAUUGUUUUGGCUUUCGUACCGGUUUCCGACUCAUUAAUAAUGGGCGAUUAAUCCAGCUCAUGCGUAUGCGCACUGGCCAAAACAAGUCUUAUUAUUACCCAAUUUUCCAACGGGAACCUUGUCUAACAACCACCUUGGCACUGAAAAUGCUACGCCAAACAAAGCUUGGAUUAUGUCCCACUUCGACUCCAGGUAGCUACUAUUAGGGUAAUACUCGACUUUAAAAAUUCUUGAAACUAAACUAUCUGAAUCAGUUUGUAGUUUCCAGCCCGUUUUUCCAAGCAUUGCAACAUUAAAAGCUACCAAAUCUUUGAAAUCCAUACUUCCAUGGUUUUUGUGCACCGAUAACUUUUCCCAAGAUAACCAAUGAAACCCUUUGUUACUUGUACCUCCAUGUCCCCACCAGGAGGCAUUCAUCAUUUUUUCAAUUUCAUCUAGGAGUGUAUUUGGUUAUCUGAAUAUACUCAUAUUGUUGAAAAGCAACUAUAUACAUAUAUCUAUGAGUGAAAAUUAAAAUAAUAAAGUUCCCUUGAGCAUCCAACAAGUUGUUUCUUAGAUGUUUCUAAUUCACGUAUGGUGCUAGCAAAAAAUGAUUGUUGUAUUAUAGAGAGUACUAGCUAUGAGACCAACUGCAUCGGAUAACCUAUCCAUGGUGGUGAAAUACUCUUAAGUCCAAUUUGAAGAAUGAUGUUUAAGGCUUAGGCUUCUAUGUUAUACAUUUUGGUGAGGGGAUGGUGCCUCAGUCCAAGGCAGGGAAGACCUUCGAACACAAAGAUCACUUACAAAGGUAAUUACAUUUACCUCCCUCCAAAAGCACUAGCGGGACUCGAACCCAGAUUCUCUCGAAUUUAAAACCUGUCUUUUUACCACUAGACCAAGCCUUUGGAGUUUUCUAAGUUAUUGUUUAAAGUCCAUAUGAAGCAAUGCAUCCAAAACUCUUAAAAAUCAAUUUUGGGCAUAUGUAACCGGUUUCACCUUACAUGGUAACCAGUUACAACAAUUGAAAAUUUGAAAAAAAUUAACGUUGGAAGGUGUAACCGGUUGCACCUCAUAUGAUAACAGUAUACCACCUUCGGAAAAUCAAAUUUUAUGAAUGGUUGUCAUUUCAAAUAUGUUUCUAUUCAUUUGAGACCUUUAUAAAUCAUAAGUUUAAGAAUGGGUGCCAUUUCAAUUUUAUGAAAGGUAGCAUUGCUUCGUAAACAUAUUUACAACCUCUAUAAAACCAAUUGAGCUCAUAACCAUUUCAACAACUUUCAUAUUCUCAAUUGUGAAUUUCAAUAUCAUUUGCAUUCAAAACUCUCACUCUUGUUUUUGAAAAACUUCGUCCGUACUUUAACAUUCACAAAAAGUUUUUCUGAGCACUAAGUUCAUAUUGUUAAAGUGAUAUUGAUCAAGAUAAACAUCUAUACAAAUUAUUCUUCAUUUAUUUUGUAAAAAGUUUCUCGCCAUUGUUUCUGCGAAUUGUUGUAAAAUAUAGUGGGGUGCUGUCUUGGAGUAUAAAAAUAUUGUUAGGGUGUCUUGGAUUGAGGUUACUGUAACAAAGAUUCAUACAUAGUAAAAAUCCUUCACGUGGUGUGAAGGGAGUGGAUGUACCCUUAAAUUUUAAGAGAAACCGCUAUAAUUCUCUUGUGUUAU